CUUCUCAUGCCUUCACCUCACUUCUCCUCUGUACUUAAGCUGUCUGGUUUUCUCUGUACCUUGCUGGAUUCUUCCCUUAUUCUGGUCAGUUUGACUGCUCCAUGCCCAUGCUCCGUGUCCUGUUUCUCUUGUAAGUUUCCCAUUUCACUUCUGUGGGUUUAGUAACUCAUAGAGCACCCAGCAAGAAUUAUAAGUUGCCUCCCUGGGUCCUCCCGGUGAUUCCGGUGCAGCCUGAUUCCGUUUACCUCCUGAGUUCCACGUCUGGAUCAAAGGAUGACUGCCACCGGCUUCUAGACACUCAGCCACCGAAACCUGUCCGCUCUCCAAUGAACUGCUUACCUCCAAGAAAAAACACAGACGUGUCCACCCUAAAACUGACCUCCCCUCCCGGACUCCUAAUCCUCCUGCAACAAGGAUGAACUGCCAGAGCAGCCCUGAGUUCCUCACUCACGUUAUUGUCUCUUCUAAAAUAAAUAUCUUCCCUGGUCUCCAGAAAGUUUCUGGAUGUGGGUCAAAAAGCUCGGUAAAACAAUGACAAUCCUAAUUAGAUUAAAGUCCAAAAUUUGACUAGGCCACUAUAAAUCCUGAUAAAUGAAAUCAUCAUUAGAGAUGCUUUUGGCGUCAUGCUAAUGCCUGACAUCAAGGUUUCUUUGAUAAUCUAAAACAUUUAAGUGUGACAGAAGAUCAAACAGGAAGAAAUAAGCACGAGGAAAAAUACUUUUGAACGGGACUGUUUUCGCACUGAAGCAUCGUGGUAUAGAUGUCACAAACUGGUGGAUGCAGUAAGAUAAAGAAUAUGUUUAUGACAGAUAUAUUUUUUAUUGCAUUUUGUUUAUUGCUUUGAGAGUGUAUAGGUGGAUGAAGAUAACAUACAAAGUAUUCCAGACCCAAGCAAUGCUGUCUGGCAGAGAGGCAGCACCUUGGAGAUCUUCCAGCUGUUUUUUUAUUAGCUGUGUGAAAAAGGUUCUUUGAGAUGACUGGCAACAAUGGAGACAGAGACAGACAAAAUCAGCAACAAGGGAGUCUACCACAAAAAAUAAAUACCUUUAAACUUG